GUGGGGAAUAUUGGACAAUGGGCGAAAGCCUGAUCCAGCCAUGCCGCGUGUGUGAAGAAGGUCUUCGGAUUGUAAAGCACUUUAAGUUGGGAGGAAGGGCAGUAAGUUAAUACCUUGCUGUUUUGACGUUACCAACAGAAUAAGCACCGGCUAACUUCGUGCCAGCAGCCGCGGUAAUACGAAGGGUGCAAGCGUUAAUCGGAAUUACUGGGCGUAAAGCGCGCGUAGGUGGUUCAGCAAGUUGGAGGUGAAAUCCCCGGGCUCAACCUGGGAACUGCCUCCAAAACUACUGAGCUAGAGUACGGUAGAGGGUAGUGGAAUUUCCUGUGUAGCGGUGAAAUGCGUAGAUAUAGGAAGGAACACUAGUGGCGAAGGCGACUACCUGGACUGAUACUGACACUGAGGUGCGAAAGCGUGGGGAGCAAACAGGAUUAGAAACCCCUGUAGUCC
rnacentral:rRNA from 1 species